rnacentral:rRNA from 1 species
AGAGUUUGAUCAUGGCUCAGAUUGAACGCUGGCGGCAGGCCUAACACAUGCAAGUCGAACGGUAACAGGAAGAAGCUUGCUUCUUGCUGACGAGUGGCGGACGGGUGAGUAAUGUCUGGGAAACUGCCUGAUGGAGGGGGAUAACUACUGGAAACGUAGCUAAUACCGCAUAACGUCGCAAGACCAAAAAGGGGGACCUUCGGGCCUCUUGCCAUCGGAUGUGCCCAGAUGGGAUUAGCUAGUAGGUGGGGUAACGGCUCACCUAGGCGACGAUCCCUAGCUGGUCUUAGAGGAUGACCAGCCACACUGGAACUGAGACACGGUCCAGACUCCUACGGGAGGCAGCAGUGGGGAAUAUUGCACAAUGGGCGCAAGCCUGAUGCAGCCAUGCCGCGUGUAUGAAGAAGGCCUUCGGGUUGUAAAGUACUUUCAGCGGGGAGGAAGGGAGUAAAGUUAAUACCUUUGCUCAUUGACGUUACCCGCAGAAGAAGCACCGGCUAACUCCGUG